UACGGGGGGGGCAAGCGUUGUUCGGAAUUACUGGGCGUAAAGGGCUCGUAGGCGGCCAACUAAGUCGGAUGUGAAAUCCCCAAGCUUAACUUGGGAACUGCAUCCGAUACUGGAUGGCUUGAAUCCGGGAGAGGGAUGCAGAAUUCCAGGUGUAGCGGUGAAAUGCGUAGAUAUCUGGAGGAACACCGGUGGCGAAGGCGGCUUUCUGGACAAAUACCGACGCUGAGGCACGAAAGCUAGGGGAGCAAACAGG
rnacentral:rRNA from 1 species